rnacentral:rRNA from 1 species
GAUGAACGCUGCCGGCGUUCCUAAUACAUCCAAGUCGAGCGAACAGACGAGGAGCUUGCUCCUCUGACGUUAGCGGCGGACGGGUGAGUAACACGUGGAUAACCUACCUAUAAGACUGGGAUAACUUCGGGAAACCGGAGCUAAUACCGGAUAAUAUAUUGAACCGCAUGGUUCAAUAGUGAAAGACGGUUUUGCUGUCACUUAUAGAUGGAUCCGCGCCGCAUUAGCUAGUUGGUAAGGUAACGGCUUACCAAGGCAACGAUCCGUAGCCGACCUGAGAGGGUGAUCGGACACACUGGAACUGAGACACGGUCCAGCCUCCUACGGGAGGCAGCAGUAGGGAAUCUUCCGCAAUGGGCGAAAGCCUGACGGAGCAACGCCGCGUGAGUGAUGAAGGUCUUCGGAUCGUAAAACUCUGUUAUUAGGGAAGAACAAAUGUGUAAGUAAGUAUGCACGUCUUGAGGGUACCUAAUCAGAAAGCCAAGGCUAACUACGUG